GGGAGCAUGGCUCAGGUGGUAAAGUGCCUGCCUAGCAAGCUUGUGGCCCUGAGUUCAAAUUCCAGUACUACCA
rnacentral:tRNA from 1 species